GGCAUUAUCCAGGGGUGCAAUUUAUUGCUGAGAGAGCUUGAUGUUCAACCCUUUGAACCUGAUCUGGUUAAUUCCAGCGGAGGGAGGAAAGCAUGGUUCGUU
rnacentral:ncRNA from 2 species